AUAAGUGUGAGCUAUACAUACUUCUAAGAAAGAUUAAUAAAAACAAGAUGAUUACCCAGUUUUUGGUGAAUCAGUGAGAGAUGGUGGUUGUAGUGGUGGUGGGUUAAACCAAGGAAUACAUGUUUGCAGUGUGAAAAUUGUAAGGAGCAUCUCCUACCACAGGUCAAAAGCAGACUAUCAAAUAUGACAGGAUUGCUGAGUCCUUUUGUGCUGCAUUGUUUAUUGUUACACAUUUGUAUGAUUAUCAACGAUUUUUACAGAUUUUCUUUUUACAAUAAUUUGUAUUCAUUCAUUUUCCAACUUUCCACUGCCAUCCAGUUCAGGGUCAUGAGUGGCUGGAGCCUAUCUCAGCAGCUUAGGGUGUGAGGCAGGAACCAACCCUGGACAGGAUGCCAUUCCAUCACAGGGCGCAUUCAUACACACCACCACACUCACUCAUGCUGGGACAGGACAUUGUAUGCUGGGACAGGACAUGCCAAUUCACCUAAUGUACACAACUUUGGGAAAGUUGAGUACCUGGAAACCGGAGUACCUGGAGAAAACCUACAGAGAUACGAGGAGAACCUGCAUAUUCUACACAGAUAGGGACCCCAGCCAGAAUUCAGGUUUUUUUUAAACAAUGUUAUUCAAGGACCUGCUGUACCUGCCACAAAUUUUAUUGACUCUCAAAUGCAUUAUGCUAA